AGAGUUUGAUCCUGGCUCAGGAUGAACGCUGGCGGCGUGCCUAAUACAUGCAAGUCGAACGAGGUGCUUUUGUAGCAAUACGAGAGUAUCCUAGUGGCGAACGGGUGAGUAACGCGUUGGUGACCUACCCCAAAGUGUGGGAUAACAGUCCGAAAGGAUUGCUAAUACCGCAUGUGGUCUUCGGGUUUAGAAACUGAUGACUAAAGGAGCAAUUCGCUUUGGGAGGGACCUGCGUCCCAUCAGCUAGUUGGUGAGGUAAUGGCUCACCAAGGCUACGACGGGUAGGGGACCUGAGAGGGUGACCCCCACAAUGGAACUGAAACACGGUCCAUACACCUACGGGUGGCAGCAGUAGGGAAUAUUGCACAAUGGGCGAAAGCCUGAUGCAGCAACGCCGCGUGUGCGAUGAAGGCCUUCGGGUCGUAAAGCACUUUUCUGGGAGAUGAGCAAGGACAGUAUCUCAGGAAUAAGUCUCGGCUAACUACGUG
rnacentral:rRNA from 1 species